rnacentral:misc_RNA from 1 species
CCACAGCGCGUCUAUGAAGAGAUGAGCAAGGCGUUCGGUCGUGACACCUGCUACGUCAGCGUGAUCGGAUUGUCGCAGAUCGCCGGUGCGCAAUUCCUUGGCGUCUAUCGCCCGCGCAACUGGAUCAAUGCCGGACAGGCCGGCCCGCUCGGCUGGACCCUGCCCGCAGCGCUGGGCGUCCGUGCCGCAGAUCCGGAACGCGAGAUCGUCGCACUGUCCGGCGAUUACGACUUCCAGUUCCUGAUCGA